GAUGAAGAACGCAGCAAAAUGCGAUACUUGGUGUGAAUUGCAGAAUCCCGUGAACCAUCGAGUUUUUGAACGCAAGUUGCGCCCGAAGCCUUUUGGCCGAGGGCACGUCUGCCUGGGCGUCACGCAUCGCGUCGCCCCCCACAAUUCUCCGUAAAGGGAACAUGUGUUUUGGGGGCGGAUAUUGGUCUCCCGUGCUCAUGGCGUGGUUGGCCGAAAUAGGAGUCCUUUCGAUGGACGCACGAACUAGUGGUGGUCGUAAAAACCCUCGUCUUUUGUUUCGUGCUGUUGCUCGCAAGGUAAACUCUUUAAAAACCCCAAUGUGUCGUCUCUUGACGACGCUUCGACCGCGACCCCAGGUCAGGCGGGACUACCCGCUGAGUUUAAGCAUAUCAAUAAGCCGGAGGA
rnacentral:misc_RNA from 1 species